AACAUGGAGAGUUUGAUCCUGGCUCAGGAUGAACGCUGGCGGUAUGCUUAACACAUGCAAGUCGAACGCACCUUUCGGG
rnacentral:rRNA from 1 species